rnacentral:lncRNA from 1 species
AAAUCUAUAUGGAAUUUGGAGAAGAACUGGUCUAAAGAAGAGCUGUUAGAAAAUAUGGAUUUCAGACUUAGGGCCCGUUUGUUUCGUUGGAAUUGAAUUCCAUUUUAAUAAUUAUACUUUAGACAAAACUAAUUAAGUUUAUAUAUUUAUAUAUGUAAUAUAUUUGUAUAUUAUCCUAAAUCAUAUGAGAGAGAUAGUUAUAUACUACAUUUAUGUUAUAGAGGCGCAAGUAGAAGAAUGUGCUAUAAGUUGUACAUCGGAAAAAUAGCAUGUAAAUCUAUAGAAUCCAUUUCCAUCUCUCACCUCAUGAAUUUGAGGUAGGCUUAUAUGAUAACUUUGGAAAGUGGUGGAAUGUCAUAUUCUACAAAAAAAUAGCCUAUUCCAUUAGUAAUAUUCCAAUUCCUCGAAAUGAAAGGAAACAAACGGGGCCUUAGUGAAAUUCAGAUUCUGAAUUUCAGCAAUUGGAGCAAACUUUGGGCUAUUGUAGUUUGGAAUCCAAGAGGUUUUGGUUAAUGGUCACUGUAUCAAACUUGUAGAGGAACUAUAGGAGUAUAAACUUUAUUAAGCAACUUGCCCCUAGAAAUAUUUGUAACUCAAGAAAAAGUG